AUACUAAUUUACAUUUAGUUGGAGCUUUCAGAUUGUGAGAUGUUGCCACAUACCUUAUCUCGUUUGAUGCUCAUUUUUUUUUCUAAUGAAGUAAGUGAAGCAGUUAGCACCUCCCAGAUGAAGAAAUUGGAGCUCAGCAUGACUAAAUAACUUGCCUAGGCUCACACAGCUACUGUGCAAGGAAGCCAGGAUCUUAGACCACUCCUCUUUCCACCACAUCACGUCUUAUUUACAUAACUUUGUUAAUAUUGGUUGUUUCCUUCCCUCCGACCAGUGAUUCUCACAUUUUAUUCGUCAAAAUCACCUGGUGGGGGACAGCUUGUUAAAACAGAUUUUGGACCCCAACCUAGAGUUUCUGAUUCAGUAGAUCUGGAGUGGGGCCUGAUAAUUUGCACUUUUAACAAGUUCCCAGGUAUCUUCAUGCUGUGAGAACCACCAUCUUAGACUGUAAACUCUUCAAGAGCGAGCAUUGUUUUCUGUUUCCCCCCUCAGUUACCCUUGCUCAGUUACUAUCACACAACUGCUUUGUUGUGUCACUUUUAACAACUGACUGUCAGGGAGUUCUUUUUUCAUUCUGGAUUUCACUUGUUUUAUGGCAGAGAUUCAGAACAGCUGUGUGGGCUUUUCUUACACUUAUUUAGUAAGCAUUUUUCAACUUGUUUUUCAACAAGUGUGGUCCAAGAACCACAUGCAAUAGCAUCACCAGGGUGCUUAAUAGAAAUACCCAUUCCUGGGGCCCAAUUUAGAACCACUAAGUCAGAUUCUAGGGGGUUGGGGCCUGGUAAUAAGCCUGUUAAGUGAUGGAGGUCUAGCUGAGUGAGAUGAAAUGCAGAGCAAUCUAGAACCCUUUGUUAACAAAAUUAGGUAAGAGAAAAUAUUCAAGACGCUCCAUUCAUCUUUAGAAUACUCUGCUGUGUUUGCUUUCUCCUACACAAACUGAGACUCUGAGGCAGUGACUGACUUCCCCAAAUCCCACAGCCAGAAAGUGAAGUUAAUAUGACAUCAUACAGCCUGUUGAGGAGCCAUCAGCUUAUCAUCCAUGGCCGAUUGUGGUGUCUGAACAGAAAGAUAAUCCACUAAAAAAAAUAAAAAGGACCAAAAAUAAACAAAAGGCCUGUCCAACUGCUGUUUGCCUGAAGCUGGCGUCUGAGAAGAACUUUCCCAGAAACAGGCAGCACCUGAAAUUACCAAGUAUAAAUACGAUGGGAAGAAAUAGGCAUGAAAGAAGUUUGAAAAAGCUCUGGUUUUAGUGUUUGCUUCUUGCAGCGUUGCCUGAGGGCCUGGUUUCUUCUUCAACAUGCAGGACUCUUCAAAGUGAAAUCAACGGGAUUUCCUCCCUUCCACAUUAUCCCUCCUGUCCACUCCGCAUCGGUGACCAUCCUGAAUUUAUCAAGUUCUCUUCUGUUAUUAUGUAAAGACCUCUUGGGUUUACAUAUAGUCCUCAAAGUCUUUCUCAAUUAAGACUUCAAAAUUUAAAACUAUUAAUUGAAACAUUAUGUGACAGGCACUUUGAUAAAUCCUGAAGUUACAGGGCUGAACCAGACAGACAUAAUUCCGGUCUCACUAAGCUUAAAUAAGGACAUAUAUUUCCCUGUCCUCCACAAAUGCAAUUUCUUUUUUAUUUUUGCUUUCCACUAGUCCAAUUGCUGUAACAACUUUGUGAUGUUACCUAUUUGUUGUUUUCACAUUUAUCUCAGAUGUGCACAAAUUUUCAAAGCUAACAUUAUAUUGGUCUGAAAUGAUAUGCUAUUUUAAGGAAGAUUGUGCAAAUUAUAUUUCCAACUGCCUUCAGGCUGUUUCCAUUUUUCUGUGGGCUGCGUCCUCGCCUUUGUUUUCCGGAUCUGAUUAGGCUUGGGAAGCAACGUGAAAUAGGUCAGAUGGACUGGGAUUUGAACUUUACUUGGGAAUUUUAAUGUAAUAUUUCUAGGUCUCAGUUUUCUCAGUUAAAAUGGAUUACCUCUUACCAUAUAAGGUUGUUGUGAAGAUUAAAGUAUGUGUGCAUGAGUGUAUAUCUAUACAUAUGUAUAGAUAUACAUAUAUUUUAAAAUGGAGAGAGAUUUAUUUAAAACCGUGACUGACAUGUAAUGGGUGCUCAAUAAGUGUUUGUCCUCAUAUCCCCACCUCUUCCUAGUUAAUUAUUCUUAUGAAAUAUGAACGUUUUCGUUUUUCUCCUCCAUCCCAUCGCCUCAGUCCCGGCACCACGUCUUGUGUAAAGACCCCUGCAUUAGCCUCCUAUUGUUUUUCUCUCCAAUCCUUCACCUGUAAUCUUUCUAAAUGGUUGCUUUCACCAUGAUUCUCCCCUGCUAGGUAUAUCCUGCAAACACUUACUGCCCUUCACAGUGCUCUUUCUGGUGUUCUUCCUGCUUUACUUUCGUUUACUCUUGGUAAAACUACUUCCAUCCUCUCCAUUGCAGGAUCAGUUCAAUUUGGUU
ensembl:lncRNA